GAUGAACGCUGGCGGCGUGCCUAAUACAUGCAAGUCGAGCGAACGGACGAGAAACUUGCUUCUCUGAUGUUAGCGGCGGACGGGUGAGUAACACGUGGAUAACCUACCUAUAAGACUGGGAUAACUUCGGGAAACCGGAGCUAAUACCGGAUAAUAUUUUGAACCGCAUGGUUCAAAAGUGAAAGACGGUCUUGCUGUCACUUAUAGAUGGAUCCGCGCUGCAUUAGCUAGUUGGUAAGGUAACGGCUUACCAAGGCAACGAUGCAUAGCCGACCUGAGAGGGUGGUCGGCCACACUAGAACUGAGACACGGUCCAGACGCCUACGGGAGGCAGCAGUAGGGAAUCUUCCGCAAUGGGCGAAAGCCUGACGGAGCAACGCCGCGUGAGUGAUGAAGGUCUUCGGAUCGUAAAACUCUGUUAUUAGGGAAGAACAUAUGUGUAAGUAACUGUGCACAUCUUGACGGUACCUAAUCAGAAAGCCACGGCUAACUACGUG
rnacentral:rRNA from 1 species